UACAGAGGGUGCGAGCGUUAAUCGGAAUUACUGGGCGUAAAGCGUGCGCAGGCGGUUUGCUAAGACAGGUGUGAAAUCCCCGGGCUUAACCUGGGAACUGCGCUUGUAACUAGCAGGCUAGAGUGUGGCAGAGGGGGGUGGAAUUCCAGGUGUAGCAGUGAAAUGCGUAGAUAUCUGGAGGAACACCGAUGGCGAAGGCAGCCCCCUGGGCUAACACUGACGCUCAUGCACGAAAGCGUGGGGAGCAAACAGG
rnacentral:rRNA from 1 species